GACGUAGGGGGCAAGCGUUGUCCGGAGUUACUGGGCGUAAAGCGCUUGUAGGCGGUCCACCAAGUUUGGGGUGACAGUUGCCGACUUAAUCGGCAAAGUGCCUCAAAGACUGGCGGACUUGAGGGCCACAGAGGGACAUGGAACUCCAGGUGUAGUGGUGAAAUGCGUAGAUAUCUGGAAGAACACCAAAGGCGAAGGCAGUGUCCUGGGUGGUCGCUGACGCUGAGAGGCGAAAGCCAGGGGAGCGAACGGG
rnacentral:rRNA from 1 species